rnacentral:rRNA from 1 species
GGUUAAGCGACUAAGCGUACACGGUGGAUGCCCUGGCAGUCAGAGGCGAUGAAGGACGUGCUAAUCUGCGAUAAGCGUCGGUAAGGUGAUAUGAACCGUUAUAACCGGCGAUUUCCGAAUGGGGAAACCCAGUGUGAUUCGUCACACUAUCAUUAACUGAAUCCAUAGGUUAAUGAGGCGAACCGGGGGAACUGAAACAUCUAAGUACCCCGAGGAAAAGAAAUCAACCGAGAUUCCCCCAGUAGCGGCGAGCGAACGGGGAGCAGCCCAGAGCCUGAAUCAGUGUGUGUGUUAGUGGAAGCGUCUGGAAAGGCGCGCGAUACAGGGUGACAGCCCCGUACACAAAAAUGCACAUGCUGUGAGCUCGAUGAGUAGGGCGGGACACGUGGUAUCCUGUCUGAAUAUGGGGGGACCAUCCUCCAAGGCUAAAUACUCCUGACUGACCGAUAGUGAACCAGUACCGUGAGGGAAAGGCGAAAAGAACCCCGGCGAGGGGAGUGAAAAAGAACCUGAAACCGUGUACGUACAAGCAGUGGGAGCACGCUUAGGCGUGUGACUGCGUACCUUUUGUAUAAUGGGUCAGCGACUUAUAUUCUGUAGCAAGGUUAACCGAAUAGGGGAGCCGAAGGGAAACCGAGUCUUAACUGGGCGUUAAGUUGCAGGGUAUAGACCCGAAACCCGGUGAUCUAGCCAUGGGCAGGUUGAAGGUUGGGUAACACUAACUGGAGGACCGAACCGACUAAUGUUGAAAAAUUAGCGGAUGACUUGUGGCUGGGGGUGAAAGGCCAAUCAAACCGGGAGAUAGCUGGUUCUCCCCGAAAGCUAUUUAGGUAGCGCCUCGUGAAUUCAUCUCCGGGGGUAGAGCACUGUUUCGGCAAGGGGGUCAUCCCGACUUACCAACCCGAUGCAAACUGCGAAUACCGGAGAAUGUUAUCACGGGAGACACACGGCGGGUGCUAACGUCCGUCGUGAAGAGGGAAACAACCCAGACCGCCAGCUAAGGUCCCAAAGUCAUGGUUAAGUGGGAAACGAUGUGGGAAGGCCCAGACAGCCAGGAUGUUGGCUUAGAAGCAGCCAUCAUUUAAAGAAAGCGUAAUAGCUCACUGGUCGAGUCGGCCUGCGCGGAAGAUGUAACGGGGCUAAACCAUGCACCGAAGCUGCGGCAGCGACGCUGAUGCGUUGUUGGGUAGGGGAGCGUUCUGUAAGCCUGCGAAGGUGUGCUGUGAGGCAUGCUGGAGGUAUCAGAAGUGCGAAUGCUGACAUAAGUAACGAUAAAGCGGGUGAAAAGCCCGCUCGCCGGAAGACCAAGGGUUCCUGUCCAACGUUAAUCGGGGCAGGGUGAGUCGACCCCUAAGGCGAGGCCGAAAGGCGUAGUCGAUGGGAAACAGGUUAAUAUUCCUGUACUUGGUGUUACUGCGAAGGGGGGACGGAGAAGGCUAUGUUGGCCGGGCGACGGUUGUCCCGGUUUAAGCGUGUAGGCUGGUUUUCCAGGCAAAUCCGGAAAA